rnacentral:lncRNA from 1 species
CGCCCCUCCCCCAGCCUCGCUGCCGCCUUGCAGUUUGAUCUCAGACUGCCCUGCUAGCAAUCAGCGAGACUCCGUGGACGUAGGACCCUCCGAGCCAGGUGCAGGAUAUGAUCUCCUGGUGCGCCGCUUUUUUAAGCCCGUCGGAAAAGCGCAGUAUUCGGGUGGGAGGGACCGGAUUUUCCAGGUGCCGUCUAUCACCCCUUUCUUUGACUAGGAAAGGGAACUCCCUGACCCCUUGCACUUCCUGAGUGAGGCAAUGCCUUGCCCUGCUUCGGCUCCCGCUAGGUGCGCUGCACCCACUGACCUGCGCCCACUGUCUGGCACUCCCUAGUGAGAUGAACCCAGUACCUCAGAUGGAAAUGCAGAAAUCACCCGUCUUCUGCGUCGCUCACGCUGGGAGCUGUAGACCGGAGCUGUUCCUAUUCGGCCAUCUUGGCUCCUCCCGACAUUCGAUGUUUCACCAUCAAGUAUGACAUUAGCUGUGAGUGUUUCAUCGAUGUCCUUUAUCAAGUUAAAGAAGUUCUCUUCUAUUCCUAGUUUAAGUGUUUUUAUCAUGCAAAGUUGUUGGAUUUUGACACAUGCUUUUUCAUUGUCUGUCAAGAUAAUAACAUGGUUUUUGUCCAUUAUUUGAUUCAUGUGCUGUAUUGAUUGCUUUUUAUAUGUGGAAGCAACUUUUCUUCUGGGGUAAACCCAUAUUGUGGUGUAUAAUCCUAUUUACAUGUUGUUG